rnacentral:rRNA from 1 species
AUUGAACGCUGGCGGCAUGCUUUACACAUGCAAGUCGAACGGUACCAGGCCGCAAGGUGCUGACGAGUGGCGAACGGGUGAGUAAUGCAUCGGAACGUGCCCAGUCGUGGGGGAUAACUACUCGAAAGAGUAGCUAAUACCGCAUACGAUCUAUGGAUGAAAGCGGGGGACCGUAAGGCAUCGCGCGAUUGGAGCGGCCGAUGUCAGAUUAGGUAGUUGGUGGGGUAAAGGCUCACCAAGCCAACGAUCUGUAGCUGGUCUGAGAGGACGACCAGCCACACUGGGACUGAGACACGGCCCAGACUCCUACGGGAGGCAGCAGUGGGGAAUUUUGGACAAUGGGCGCAAGCCUGAUCCAGCAAUGCCGCGUGCAGGAAGAAGGCCUUCGGGUUGUAAACUGCUUUUGUACGGAACGAAACGGCUCUGGUUAAUACCCGGGGCUAAUGACGGUACCGUAAGAAUAAGCACCGGCUAACUACGUG